rnacentral:rRNA from 1 species
GUAGGUGGCAAGCGUUGUCCGGAAUUAUUGGGCGUAAAGCGCGCGCAGGCGGUUCUUUAAGUCUGAUGUGAAAGCCCACGGGCUCAACCGUGGAGGGUCAUUGGAAACUGGAGAACUUGAGUACAGAAGAGGAAAGCGGAAUUCCACGUGUAGCGGUGAAAUGCGUAGAGAUGUGGAGGAACACCAGUGGCGAAGGCGGCUUUCUGGUCUGUAACUGACGCUGAGGCGCGAAAGCGUGGGGAGCAAACAGGAUUAGAUACCCUGGUAGUCCACGCCGUAAACGAUGAGUGCUAAGUGUUAGGGGGUUUCCGCCCCUUAGUGCUGCAGCUAACCCAUUAAGCACUCCGCCUGGGGAGUACGGCCGCAAAGGCUG